AACCAUUCUCACCUGCGGCUAGACCUGCGGAAGGAUCAUUAAACAACUAGGCCGUAACAAGCCUUGAACCCUUCUCUACGCGCACCCUUACCUUCUCCUUCGGCGGGUCAGCGCCCGCCGUCGGAACCAACAAACCCCCUUUUGCAUCUAGCAUACCACCCGUUCCGAUACAAAACACAAUCGUUACAACUUUUAACAAUGGAUCU
rnacentral:misc_RNA from 1 species